AUGGCGAAGAAGGCCGCAAAGCGAGCUGUUGGUGAAGCAAGGGGUCGGGCAUAUGAGGACCUCUACCAACGGUUAGGCACGAAGGAAGGUGAAAGGGACAUCUAUAAGAUGGCUAAGAUCCGGGAGAGGAAGACGAGGGAUAUUGGCCAAGUCAAAUGCAUCAAGGACGGAGCAGGCCAACUCUUGGUGAAGGACGAAGAGAUUAAGCAUAGAUGGCGGGAGUACUUCGACAAGCUGUUCAAUGGGGAGAAUGAGAGUUUUACCAUUGAACUGAAUGACUCCUUUGAUGAGACCAGCAUGCGUUUUGUGCGGCGCAUCCAGGAGUCUGAGGUGAAGGAGGCUUUAAAAAGGAUGAAAGGAGGCAAGGCGAUGGGCCCUGAUUGUAUCCCCAUUGAGGUGUGGAAAGGUCUCGGGGACAUAGCGAUAGUAUGGCUAACCAAGCUUUUCAACCUCAUUUUUCGGGCAAACAAGAUGCCAGAAGAAUGGAGACGGAGUAUAUUAGUACCAAUCUUCAAGAACAAGGGGGAUGUUCAGAGUUGUACUAAUUACCGUGGAAUUAAGCUGAUGAGCCAUACAAUGAAGCUAUGGGAGAGAGUCAUUGAGCACCGCUUAAGAAGAAUGACAAGCGUGACCAAAAAUCAGUUUGGUUUCAUGCCUGGGAGGUCGACCAUGGAAGCCAUUUUCUUGGUACGACAACUUAUGGAGAGAUAUAGGGAGCAUAAGAAGGACUUGCAUGUGGUGUUCAUUGACUUGGAGAAGGCCUAUGAUAAGAUACCGCGGAAUGUCAUGUGGUGGGCCUUGGAGAAACACAAAGUCCUAGCAAAGUACAUUACCCUCAUCAAGGACAUGUACAAUAAUGUUGUGACAAGUGUUCGAACAAGUGAUGUCGACACCGAUGACUUCCCGAUUAAGAUAGGACUGCAUCAGGGGUCAGCUUUGAGCCCUUAUCUUUUUGCAUUGGUGAUGGAUGAGGUCACAAGGGGUAUACAAGGAGAUAUCCCAUGGUGUAUGCUCUUUGCGGAUGAUGUGGUGCUAGUUGACGAUAGUCGGACGGGGGUAAAUAGGAAGUUAGAGUUAUGGAGACAAACCUUGGAAUCGAAAGGGUUUAGGCUUAGUAGAACUAAAACCGAGUACAUGAUGUGCGGUUUCAGUACUACUAGCUGUGAGGAGGAGGAGGUUAGCCUUGAUGGCCAGGUGGUACCUCGGAAGGACACCUUUCGGUAUUUGGGGUCAAUGUUGCAGGAGGAUGGGGGUAUUGAUGAAGAUGUGAACCAUCGAAUCAAAGCCGGAUGGAUGAAGUGGCGCCAAGCUUCUGGCAUUCUCUGUGACAAGAGAGUGCCACAAAAGCUAAAAGGCAAGUUCUACAGGACGGCGGUUCGACCCGCAAUGUUGUAUGGCGCGGAGUGUUGGCCGACUAAAAGGCGACAUGUUCAACAGUUAGGUGUGGCGGAGAUGCGUAUGUUGAGAUGGAUGUGUGGCCACACGAGGAAGGAUCGAGUCCGGAAUGAUGAUAUAUGA
rnacentral:rRNA from 1 species